ensembl:lncRNA
AUAUGGGAUGUUUGGGGUUCCCCCACUGGCGGAGGUUAUGGGGCAGGGGUGGGAGGUUAUGGGGCGGAGAUGGGAGCUUAUAGGGUUCCCCCCCAAUGGCGGUUAUGGGGCAGGGAUGGGAGAUUUGGGGUUCCCCCACUGGUGGUGGUUAUGGGGAAGGAAUGGGAGCAUAUGGGGUUUCCCCCCCAGCAGUGGUUAUGGGGUGGAUAUGGGGUGGUUAUGGGGCAGGGAUGGGAGGUUAUGGGGUCGUGAUGAAAAGUUAUGGGGUUCCCCCUCCCCCAGUGGCGGUUAUGGGGUGGUUAUGGGGUGGUUAUGGGGCCAUUAUGGGUCCCAUCCCCCAGCAGCAGUUAUGGGAUGGUUAUGGGGUGGUUAUGGGUCCCAUCCCCCAGCAGCAGUUAUGGGGUGGUUAUGGGGUUCCCCUCCCAGCAACCGUUAUGGGGUGAUUAUGGGAUGUUUCAGAUUCCCGCCCCCCUCCCCCUGCUGGCGGUUAUGGGGCAGGGAUGGGAGAUUUGGGGUCCCCCCGAUGGCGGUUAUGGGGCAGAUAUGGGAGGUUAUGGGGUUGCCCCCCCCAGCGGCGGUUAUGGGGCAGAUAUGGGAAGUUUGGGGUCCCCCUGCUGGCGGUUAUGGGGCAGAUAUGGGAAGUUUGGGGUCCCCCUGCUGGCGGUUAUGGGGCAGAUAUGGGAGGUUAUGGGGUUUCCCCCCCCUGCUGGCAGAUAUGGGGCAGAUAUGGGAAGUUUGGGGUCCCCCUGAUGGUGGUUAUGGGGCAGAUAUGGGAGGUUAUGGGGCUGCCCCCCCAGCGGUGGUUAUGGGGUAGGGAUGGGCGUUUGGGGUUCCCCUCCCCAGUGGCCCCUAUGGGGCAGCUAUGGGGCCACACUGGUACCGCUAUGGGGCCACUAUGGGGCGGCUGUGGGCAGUUAUGGGGCAGCUACGGGGACACUGUGGGGCAGCUAUGGGGUAGCUAUGGGGCGGCUAUGGGGCAGCUAUGGGGUGGGUAUGGGGCAGCUAUGGUGCUGCUAUGGGGCAACUAUAGUGCUGCUAUAGGGCAGCUAUGGGGCAGCUAUGAGCAGUUAUGGGGCAGCUAUGGGGGAGCUACAGAGCCACAAUGGUGCUGCUAUAGGGCAGCUAUGGGGUGGCUAUGGGGCUGCUAUGGGGCCGCAAUGGGGCCACCUUGGUGCUGCUAUAGGGCAGCUAUGGGGCCAGAACGAUGCCGCUAUAGGGCCGCAAUGGUGCCGCUAUGGGGCUGCUAUGGGGCCACAUUGGUGCUGCUAUGGGGCCGCUAUGGGGCGGCUAUGAAACCACAAUGGUGCUGCUAUGGGGCCACAUUAUUGCUGCUAUGGGGCCACAUUGGUGCUGCUAUGGGGCCGCUAUGGGGCUGCUGUGGGGCCAUAUUGGCGCUGCUAUGGGGUGGCUAUGGGGCUGCUAUGGGGCCACAAUGGUGCUGCUAUGGGGCAGCUAUGGGGCCAGAAGGACGGCGCUAUGGGGCAGCUAUGGGGCCAGAAGGAUGACGCUAUGGGUCCGCU